rnacentral:rRNA from 1 species
UGGGGAAUAUUGCACAAUGGGCGCAAGCCUGAUGCAGCCAUGCCGCGUGUGUGAAGAAGGCCUUCGGGUUGUAAAGCACUUUCAGCGAGGAGGAAGGUGGUGAGCUUAAUACGCUCAUCAAUUGACGUUACUCGCAGAAGAAGCACCGGCUAACUCCGUGCCAGCAGCCGCGGUAAUACGGAGGGUGCAAGCGUUAAUCGGAAUUACUGGGCGUAAAGCGCACGCAGGCGGUUUGUUAAGUCAGAUGUGAAAUCCCCGGGCUCAACCUGGGAACUGCAUUUGAAACUGGCAAGCUAGAGUCUCGUAGAGGGGGGUAGAAUUCCAGGUGUAGCGGUGAAAUGCGUAGAGAUCUGGAGGAAUACCGGUGGCGAAGGCGGCCCCCUGGACGAAGACUGACGCUCAGGUGCGAAAGCGUGGGGCAGCAAACAGGAUUAGAUACCCUGGUAGUCCACGCUGUAAACGAUGUCGAUUUGGAGGUUGUGCCCUUGAGGCGUGGCUUCCGGAGCUAACGCGUUAAAUCGACCGCCUGGGGAGUACGGCCGCAAGGUUAAAACUCAAAGGAAUUGACGGGGUC